AUGCAUCAACACCUUGGCUCUAGACUGCUUACUGGUAGAAGUGUGUCAAAGUACAGUAACAGUCUACAGUCAUGGCUACUGAUGCCUG
rnacentral:pre_miRNA from 1 species